GGAAAGAAAGGAAAACAUGUGCGAGAGAGACAUUGGAUUAUCAGCUUUUUUGUGGCGUUUACGUUAAGCUGUGAAAAUCGAAAAUCUUAGACACUACAAAAGUACAGGCUUUGGUCGGUUUUAUUUCGUUUCCCUUUUUUUUUUUUCCAAGCGUUCUUGCUGCAAAAAUUUUUCCUGCAAAAUCUCUUCAUAAGCUCGAGAAUUCAUUUCCCAGAUAAGUUUUCCGUGCCGGAGAGAAAUCUUGCUCGUUUUCCUUUUGUUCAAGCAAUAUUUCUAAGCUGAACUAGGCGGCGUUUAUUGUUUUCUGAAUUGGGAUUUGUU
rnacentral:misc_RNA from 1 species